rnacentral:rRNA from 1 species
GGCCAGACUCCUACGGGAGGCAGCAGUGGGGAAUAUUGCACAAUGGGGGAAACCCUGAUGCAGCAACGCCGCGUGAGUGAAGAAGUAUUUCGGUAUGUAAAGCUCUAUCAGCAGGGAAGAAAAUGACGGUACCUGAGUAAGAAGCCCCGGCUAACUACGUGCCAGCAGCCGCGGUAAUACGUAGGUGGCAAGCGUUGUCCGGAUUUACUGGGUGUAAAGGGCGUGCAGCCGGAGAGACAAGUCAGAUGUGAAAUCCGCAGGCUCAACCUGCGAACUGCAUUUGAAACUGUUUCCCUUGAGUAUCGGAGAGGUCAUCGGAAUUCCUAGUGUAGCGGUGAAAUGCGUAGAUAUCAGGAGGAACACCGGCGGCGAAGGCGGCCUGCUGGACCGUGACUGACGUUGAGGCUCGAGAGCGUGGGGAGCAAACAGGAUUAGAUACCCUCGUAA